CCCUACGGGGUGCAGCAGGUAGGUGGCAGGCGGAGGAAGGGCAAGACAGCCUAAAGGCUUAACUCAGAACGGGGAUAGCGGGAAAAAACCUGGAUUCCUGCUUGUGCAGGAAUGACCAACGGGCGCGGGAAUGGAAUAUGGGGACGCGGUGUGAGAGCGGAAGGUUGGAAAAUGGAUUCCGAGGCAGGCAAUAGGGGAUUCGACCCCCUUACUGACGUGCGGGGCUUGGAUAGGGAGAAGAGGAAGACUGGCUUCCCGCUUUCGCGGGAAUGACAGUCGGGCAAGGAAAUGGUAUAGGGGGGCGAUUCCUGGAAGAACACCUCCCUGCUGGAAGGCAGGAAGGUGCCACCCAGUAUGGAGAGGGCAGGCACCGCGAUGAUUGGUUUAGAACCCCCAACAUAAAGUUGGAGGCGUCCAUGAAUUGGCGGGAGAGC
rnacentral:rRNA from 1 species